rnacentral:lncRNA from 1 species
ACGAUAUAAAACCUACUUAUCAAAAGAAAAGAAGUAAUCAUAUAAAACCUAAGCAAAUCUGGUUGUCAAUGUGGUAUAAGUUGCUAGCUCAAUUUUGAGUUUGAGUGGUCAGGAUUUUUUGUUUCUCCCCUUCCUGGUUGUAGGGUUUUGGUGAUCACAUGAUAGUCUCUUCUGCUCACCUUCAGAGAAUGAAGGUUGCGGAGAUGAGAAUGCUAAGGUCGAUGUGCGGGCUCACCAGGUUAGAUAAGAUUAGGAAUGAAAUUAUUCGGGAAAAGGUGGGUGUGGCCCCGGUGGAUGAGAAGUCGCGAGAGGCGAGGCUCAUGUGGUUCCGGCAUGUGCGGAGGAGAAGCCCGGAUGCCCCGGUGAGGAGUUGUGAGCGUUUGGAGGUGGUUGGCGAGUCGAGGCAGAGGGAGGCUAAAGAAGUAUAUUGGGAAGAGGUGAUUAGACAUGACAUGACUAGUAUGCGGAUUUCCGAGGACAUGGCCCUUGAUAGGAGAAUCUGGAGGUCUAGUAUUAGGGUUGUAGGAUAGAGGCUUUUAGGUAGUGGUCGUUGUUAAUGCAUUCCAUUCUAUCUACCGAAUGUGGCUAAAUUAAUAUUUGUGGAUGCCCUUUUACUUGUACAUUGGCAUGUAUGAGAAGAAGAUGUGGCUAAAUUAAUAUUUGUGGAUGCCCUUUUACUGCUGUUUUUGUUUACCUUUUCCUUUUGCACGUCAUGUUACUUAUGAUUUAUGUUUACAUAAUUAUGUAUUGUGAUUUCUGGUGGAGUUACUAAUGCUCUUUUGUUUUUGUUUUUGUUUCUGUCUUUCCUUUUCUUUUUCUAAGCCGAGGGUCAAUUGGAAACAACCUCUCCAUCCUCUCGGGUGGGGGUAAGGCUUGCGUACAUAUUACCCUCACCAGACCCCACCCUGUGGGACUAUAUUGGGUAGUUGUUGUUGUAUGAUAGUCUCUUCUGUCUGGCCAGACGAAAUUCCGCAGUCACCCUUAAUCUCCUUGGUUAACUAUAAAAUAUUGCUUUAGGAGUGGAUAAUCUACGCAUAGACUUGAGAUAUCGGGAAUGGAGAGUGUCCCAUUAAACAAUCAGUAGAAGUAGUUAUACCUUGGCUUCCUUUUGGUCUUAAACUGAUAACUAGCUUCUCUUUUUGGUGGAUAAAUCUACGCAUAGACUUGAGAUAUCGGGAAUGGAGAGUGUCCCAUUAAACAAUCAGUAGAAAAAGUUAUACCUUGGCUUCCUUUUGGUCUUAAACUGAUAACUAGCUUCUCUUUUAAUUUACUUAUCUGCUUAGCACU